rnacentral:rRNA from 1 species
AGAGCGAACGCUGGCGGCAGGCCUAACACAUGCAAGUCGAGCGCCCCGCAAGGGGAGCGGCAGACGGGAGAGUAACACGUGGGAACGUACCCUUCAGUUCGGAACAACCCAGGGAAACUUGGGCUAAUACCGAAUACGUCCGUAAGGAGAAAGAUUUAUCGCUGAAGGAUCGGCCCGCGUCUGAUUAGCUAGUUGGUGAGGUAAUGGCUCACCAAGGCGACGAUCAGUAGCUGGUCUGAGAGGAUGAUCAGCCACAUUGGGACUGAGACACGGCCCAAACUCCUACGGGAGGCAGCAGUGGGAAUAUGGACAAUGGCGAAAGCCUGAUCCAGCCAUGCCGCGUGAGUGAUGAAGGCCUUAGGGUUGUAAAGCUCUUUUACCCGGGAAGAUAAUGACGGUACCGGGAGAAUAAGCCCGGCUAACUUCGCGCCAGCAGCCGC